rnacentral:rRNA from 1 species
AUUGAACGCUGGCGGCAUGCCUUACACAUGCAAGUCGAACGGUAACAGGUCUUCGGAUGCUGACGAGUGGCGAACGGGUGAGUAAUACAUCGGAACGUGCCCGAUCGUGGGGGAUAACGGAGCGAAAGCUUUGCUAAUACCGCAUACGAUCUACGGAUGAAAGCAGGGGACCGCAAGGCCUUGCGCGGACGGAGCGGCCGAUGGCAGAUUAGGUAGUUGGUGGGAUAAAAAGCUUACCAAGCCGACGAUCUGUAGCUGGUCUGAGAGGACGACCAGCCACACUGGGACUGAGACACGGCCCAGACUCCUACGGGAGGCAGCAGUGGGGAAUUUUGGACAAUGGGCGCAAGCCUGAUCCAGCCAUGCCGCGUGCAGGAUGAAGGCCUUCGGUUGUAAACUGCUUUUGUACGGAACGAAAAGACUCCUCUAAUAAAGGGGUCCAUGACGGUACCGUAAGAAUAAGCACCGGCUAACUACGUGCCAGCAGCCGCGGUAAGCAACGG